UACGGGGGGAGCAAGCGUUGUUCGGAUUUACUGGGCGUAAAGGGCGGGUAGGCGGCCACCGCAAGUCAGUUGUGAAAUCUCUGGGCUUAACCCAGAAAGGUCAACUGAUACUGCGGGGCUAGAGUGCAGAAGGGGCAACUGGAAUUCUCGGUGUAGCGGUGAAAUGCGUAGAGAUCAGCAGGAAUACCCGUGGCGAAGGCGGCCCCCUGGGCCGAACCUGACGCUGAGGCGCGAAGGCUAGGGGAGCGAACGGG
rnacentral:rRNA from 1 species